rnacentral:lncRNA from 1 species
UUGCUGUUGUCAACAAAGGUGUUCGUCCAGCAAUCCCCAAUGAUUGUUUGACUGUCCUAAGUGAGAUCAUGACCCGCUGCUGGGAUGCUAACCCUGAUAAUAGGCCACCAUUCUCUCAAGUGGUCAGAAUGCUCGAGGUCGCAGAGACAGAGAUCAUGACAACUGUCAGAAAGGCCCGUUUUAGGUGCUGCAUAAGCCAACCGAUGACUACUGAUUAAUGUGGGAAGAGGAAUCUAGAAGCAGUAAGAACAGGAGUAAAGAAUUUGGGAAGCCCAAAAAAACAGCUGAUUUAAGUCCUUUAUGUGUAUCUAUAAUUUCUUUGUUCGAUAGGAAAGAAAGUUAUGAGAACUCUUUGUUGUGUCCUUUUAACCCCCUCUUUUCUCUUUUGAUAUCCCCUGCUGAUAAGUAGUAGAAGAGAGGGCUGGUGUGUAUCAUACCGGUCCUUUUAUGGCAUUGUAGACCUUAUCCUUUGUUGUUAUUAAGUUUGAAUGUAUAAGGUCAUGAAGAAGUUAUUCUCUGAUCCAUGCCCACACCCUCAUCUCUGUGUUGGCUCCCAAUAUUUGAUCUUACAUUGCAGGAAAUAUGGUAGCUCCUUUUAUGGCAUUGUAGACCUUAUCUUUUGUUGUUAUUAAGUUUGAAUGUAUAAGUUCCUGAAGAAGUUACUCUCUGAUCCAUGCCCACACUCUCGUCUCUGUGUUGGCUCCCAAUGUUUGAUCUUACAUUGCAGGAAAUAUGGUAGCAAGAGUAACAUAUUUUGCUUGGAGGACUGAAGUCGUUAAAAUCAAUCUAUAUGACCACAAUGUAUUAGUCAAUGUGGUGUUGGUGAAUGAGAGGUUUUUGAGGAUUGAAUUUCUGAUUAUUAGGGAGCAAGAAUGACGAUUUUGCUUGGAGAUGGGACACAUUCAAAUCAAUUUGUAUGAUCAGGAUAUAGUAGUUGGUAUAAGG